ensembl:ncRNA F48E3.13 ncRNA
GCUCUAGUGAAAGACGGUAUAUCGCAGCCAAAGAAUAAUCGUCUUGUUCAACACGCGAUUUAUUUGCAUUGGAUGAAGUAUUUGACUGUGGGAAUAUUGACCUUAGAUUUCUUUCCCUCUCUUUUUUUCGUCUGCCAAUCUUCAUC